UUUAUGGAGAGUUUGAUCCUGGCUCAGGAUGAACGCUGGCGGCGUGCCUAAUACAUGCAAGUCGAGCGAACGGAU
rnacentral:rRNA from 1 species